GGGGGUAUAGCUCAGUUGGUAGAGCGACGCAAUGGCAUUGCGUAGGUCAGCGGUUCGACCCCGCUUACCUCCACCA
rnacentral:tRNA from 1 species